rnacentral:rRNA from 1 species
GCCCUCGGGUCCGGAAUAACCUGCCGAAAGGCGGGCUAAUACCGGGUAACGAUACGGGGUCUUCGGACUCUGCAUCUAAAGCUGACCUCUUCAUUGAAAGUUGGCGCCUGGGGAGGGGCUCGCGUCCCAUUAGCUUGUUGGUGAGGUAGCGGCUCACCAAGGCUACGAUGGGUAGCCGGCCUGAGAGGGCGACCGGCCACAGUGGAACUGAGACACGGUCCACACUCCUACGGGAGGCAGCAGUGAGGAAUCUUGCGCAAUGGGCGAAAGCCUGACGCAGCGACGCCGCGUGGACGAUGAAGGCCUUCGGGUCGUAAAGUCCUGUCGGGUGGGAAGAAUGGGUUUGGGGCUAAUAUCCCCAAGCCUUGACGGUACCACUAGAGGAAGCCCCGGCUAACUCCGUGCCAGCAGCCGCGGUAAUACGGAGGGGGCCAGCGUUGCUCGGAAUUAUUGGGCGUAAAGGGCGCGU